rnacentral:rRNA from 1 species
AUUGAACGCUGGCGGCAGGCCUAACACAUGCAAGUCGAGCGAGCGGCGGACGGGUGAGUAAUGUAUGGGGACUGCCCGAUAGAGGGGGAUAACUACUGGAAACGGUAGCUAAUACCGCAUACUAUCGGAUAACCCAAGUGGGAUUAGCUAGUAGGUGGGUUAAGGGCUCACCUAGGCGACGAUCCCUAUCUGGUCUUGGAGGAUGAUCAGCCACACGGGGACUGAGACACGUCCCAGACGCCUACGGAGGCAGCAGUGGGGAAUAUUGCACAAUUGGCGCAAGCCUGAUGCAGCCAUUCCGCGUGUGUGAAGAAGGCCCUAGGGUUGUAAAGUACUUUCAGUCGGGAGGCGUUACCGACAGAAGAAGCACCGGCUAACUCCGUGCCAGCAGCCGCGGUAAUAC